UGCUCCAUUGGCAUCAUAUUCAUCGGAGUCGUCACCCUCAACUUAUUGUUGUCCUUCGCCGUCUAUUAUGAAUCUGCCUCAUAUUCCUCCACCCUCAUUCUUUGUGUAGAAGAUGUAGUGGCAUCCAUGACCAUGGCCCAUGUCAAUUCUUCAUACCCCUUAGCUCAUCAUCAUCAACUAACGACUCCAUAGCAUUGUCCAUACUUUUUGAUCUAAUGGGGUCUCUCUUAUCCCUCUUAGCAAACCGGUCAUUCAAGAAUCGAUUAUACUUGAUAUAGACUAGGUCAUUGAGCCUCUUUGAUUCAAUUCAGUUCCUUCUCUUUGUAUGAAUCUAACAAACUCAAAUGAAACUAACUAAAAUCUAUGGUUCAUGUAUUAUUAAUACAAUUAUACAAAUUACCCUUACAGCCUUACCCCUUCAAAAGUACUGCAAUUGCGCUCACAACCAAAUGAGGAAGUGGUCAGGUUUAAGAUCCGAAUGGACAACUUUUGUAAAUUUGGAGAACUACACCCAUGUUGGCUCCACCAAUUGGCUGCAAAGAUAUAGAAUAAAAUCAUAAAUAAAUAAUAGAAUUAUAAAAAUGAAACUUGAUUACUUGAACUUGAUGAACUUAAGAAUAUUAUUACUACUUGGAUCAAUUUUGGUCCUUUGCCUCAUCGUUAUUAGACUCCCAAAAGACUUUAAUGAGCACUUGUAAUUUAUUAGCUCAUCAGCGCAUAUAAUAUCUUGUAUAUCAGGAUAAUCAUUUGUGUGUAUAUCCUUGUCAACAUAAAAAAAAUUGGGUUCAAAUAAAAACUAGUUGCAUACAAUGGCCGCUAUAGCUGCCUAUCCCACUUCUCAUCAAUAAUCUCCCAAACAGGCUUGUAGCAGUUCUCAUCAUUAUCAAAAUUUUGGGGUAUCUUUCUUUUGUAUUUCUCUAUAGCCUCAUAUAUAUAGCCCAUAGAAGGCUUGUCACUAUCAACCCUGUGAAGGACUUUGACAAGAGGAAAAAAUACCUUAAGAGUGCCCUUCACCCCUCGCCAAAAAGCCUUAGAAAGGAUAAUAUCUCUCACCUUCUUCCCAACCUGAUCCUUGGACCACUUGCAUGCUCUCUAGUCAUCCGAGGUAAACAUCUACCUCAACUGUACUCUCCUCGAAUGUAUGCUAUCUAAGCAUAAGUACCAGGUCUCAAAUCUCGUGACCCUAGGCCUCACAAUCUCUUCUUCUUUGUAAAUCUACGCAUCAUGCUGAGGGCGAGAUGGUGGCUAUAAAUGAAAUUUGUAACUGACUUUGCCUUCUUCACUGCACCUGAUAUCUCGGUUAAACUGCCAAGCGCCUCAAGCAUGAGGUCUAUACAAUGUGCUGCGCAUGCUGUCCAAAAGAUUAUAGGAUAAGCUAUGAACAACAAAUUAGCUGCAACAACAUUAGGAGCAGCAUUGUCUGUGACAACUUGUACAACAUGAUGCUCCCCAACCUCCUUGAUUCCCUUCUCUAAAACUUGGAAUAUGUAAUGGGCAUCAUGGAUAUGAUCAGAGGCAUCAAUAGACCUAAAAAAAACAGUCCCUAAAGGACAAUUCACAGGGAAAUUCAUCUGACUUCUUUUCUUUCUAUUACCCCAAGCAUCAAUCAUAAUAAAAACCCCAUACUGAGCCCAUGCAUCCUUCUUAACUUCUACAACUUUCUUAGUGACACUCACCGCCUUUUUCAAAAGAGGCUCUGAAAGAUCAUAUGGGGUUGGGGGUUUCAUCCCAGGCUCAAAUUGGCCAAUUGCCUCUACCGAAGCACAGAAGCUGCUUAAGUGAGCGGUAUUGAAAGGAAUGCCCGCCUCAUAAAACCAUGUAGCAAGAUAAUACGCAGCUCUAUCUCUCUCUUCCUUCAUUCUAUUUUCAAUGGUGGUUUGCUUCUUUGUUUUCUCUCCUGCAACCUCAUGGACAGGCCGAGGCAAAAAACUAUCCAUAGAGCCUCUAAUCCGAGGCUUCUUACUUCCAUAACCAGAACCAGAAGUAAUUACAACUCCCUUUCCCUUUCUCCUAAUAAUGGAUUGUUCUACUUCUACCUCUUGACAUCCUUUCUCAAUCCCAUCCUCAUCACUAUCAUCAUCAUCAUAAUUGACUCAAACCCCAGACCUAAUCUCUGCUAUUGAGGCAAAUCUCUCAUCUCUUUUCAUUUUUACCAUAUUCAAAAAAUUAGUUAUUUCCUCUUGAACAGCAUCAAGAGUCUUUUUACAUGGGACAACAUCCCCCCUGAUACCGGCAAGAUGUUUCUUGAACUGGUUUAUGGCCCCUUUUGUAUCUUUAUCAUAAAAAUUGCAUCUUAUGCAUUUUUUAUCAUUAGGAUCUGGGUUGUAGCUAUAUUUCCAACCGGAAUCACCACUCCUAUUAGAUCCUGAAGAAGACUUCUCAAAAUAAUGCAAUUUAUACAAGCAAUAAAAAAAAUUCUCUUUGAUUUUGAUUGUUCAAUCUCCUAACUUCCACAUCAAAGAUGCUUCUAAGGACUCAAAAUCUUCUGAAAAGCGCCCAAUAUAUUUACAAAACAUAAAAAAUUAAAUCUAAUAUCAAUAGGUGAUGUGUUGAUCAAUUUCUUGUAACUUUAAGAAACCCUUCGAUUAUAAAGAAAUCACCAAAAAACUAGUUUUUUGGGGCUUUCUCUCUCUAAAAUGGGUUCCAAUAAGUUUUAGGUUUCAAAUGUACCUAAAACCCCCAUUUUUGGUCCUUUAGUAUAAAAAAAAAGACAAAAAUGCCCCUAACAAAAUUGUUUUCCCCCUUUGGGCGAGGUGCAGUCCCUGGGCGGUCGCCUAGGAGGUUUCUUGGGCGCCUAGGGACCACCGCUUUUUUAGGGCGCUUAGGCUUGGGCGAUGCGCUCGGGCCCCUAGAUCCACCCCGGCAGCCGCCCAAGUGCCUUGUGGUCUGCUUUAUGAAACACUGAAUAAAUAUAUCAAAAAAGUAAUUUGCAAAAAAUAAAUCGACCAAAAUACCCCUAAAACUUUUCAGGGGUAUUCUUGUCAAUUUAUUUUUUGUAAAUUUUUUUUUAAAUAUUUUAUUAGGUGUUCCUUGAUGAGAAGAAUUAACCCUUAAAAUUUCAACUGAUUUGAAUUUGUAGAAAAAUAAUUGAAUUUAAAUAUGGAAUGAGGUCGUGACCGUCCGAUCGGCCCAGAUUCGAUCUAGGCCAUUGGGCUUAUCUGUAGCUGUGAGAUAGUGGGCUAACCUCAACAAUUCCUUAUAUAUAUAUAUAUAUAUAUAUAUAUAUAUAUGCAGUUGUUCUGCUGUAUAUUAAAACUCAAUAGAUUUAUUUUUAGAGGAUAAUAUUGAUUUAUUUCUCUUCAAUACUUGCUUAAUUUAGCAAUCAAUUAGGUCUCUGCAAUACUUACUUAACUUAGCAAUCAAUAAGAAAUAUAAUAAGCAUAUUAAAAGGAUUAAGCAAAAUAUAGGGUUUUUUAUAUGCCUUAGAACUAUUCUUGAGGAAAAAGAAAUCCCGGUUCCUAAUUUUGAACUUAAUACGUUAGAAAGUCAAUACCGAACUUUCCAUACUCUAAAAGGAGAAGAAAUACAAAGCAUUCACCCUCCUGAGAGAACCUUAUACUUAAAAGGGUCGUUAAAAGACAAACCUGAAACUAAGGCUUCCCCAUAUAAAAUAAUUCUCAAAGAAAGUUAUAAAAUAGAUGUUAUUCCAAAUAUAAUUGAACAGAAUAACUAAUACAAACUUAUGUUUGCAAUCUAUUGGCAAACAAACCACCAGAAUAGAAAAUACUCUAAAUGAGUCCCGAAUCAAAACCACGCAAAAGGAUGAUAAGAAAAAGAAGGCUGUAUUAUUUAACCCCCUCUAGAAAUCAAUACAGGAAGGUUUAGCUUGGAAGGAGCCAAGAAAAAGGAAGGAGCCAAGAAAAAGGAAGAAAACAGGGAAUUGAUAGUUGAAUUAGUUAAAAAACUGUCAAAGGUAAAUAUACAAGAAGAUAAAAAGGGAAAAGGGGUUAUAGUAGAAUCAGAAGCCAUGGUCUUAUAAGAAGACUCGGCUAAUGAAGAAAUACAGGAUAUGGAAAAAUCCUUCAAAGAAACAAAUCUAGAUAUAAAUAGAAUAGACUAUGGGAAGAAGUUUAGACCUACUUCUCAUACAAGAAUGUAUCAUUCUAGACCUACUCCCGGUUGAUAUACAGUUUGAAGAAGAUUUGAUAUCAAGCACUGUAGCAUAUUCAGGAAGAACGAUUGUCAAUUGGAAUAUAGAUGGUUUGUCUGACCAUCAAAUAUUGGAUACAAUGAAGCACAUAACCGUGUAUGCUACAGCUUGUAAGGUAGCUGGAAGCCAUGGCCAAGAGAUAGCUAAAGCUAUUGUUUGUGGAUUUACUGGAUGGCUAAGAGGUUGGUGGGAUUUUCACAUGAGUGAAACCACUAAACAACAAAUACUAAGUGCUACAAAGCAAUGGACUAUAACGAAUGAAUACAACCAAGAUAUAGUUCAGAGUGAACGUGAUGCAGUUAAUACACUUAUUUAUACUAUAACUCUUCAUUUUGUUGGAAGUACUUCCCUGUUAGAUGCUAGGUCCGAAGACCUAUUAUCCAAUUUAAGAUGUUCGACAUUAUCCCACUACAAAUGGUAUAAAGACGUAUUCUUCUCCCGUCUCCUUUCUCGGGAAGAUAGUAGUGCGGAUCAUUGCAAAGAAAAAGUUAUAGGAGGAUUGCCUUACCUUUUUGCUGAAAAAGUAAAAACUAGGCUGAAAAAUAAGCAUGGAGGAAUAAUCCCUUAUUCUUUAUACACUUUAGGAGAACUUUCGGCAGAAAUAUGCUCAGAAGGACUUGCCCUUUGUACCGACUUGAAACUUAAAAGACAACUUGAUAAACAAAAAAUGACAGGUAAAAAGGAACUAGGAGACUUCUGUGAGCAGUUUGGAUACAACACAAUAUCAGUAUCCAAUAAGCCAGUCAAAAGGAAAUACAAAGAUAGAAAAUACAGAUCUAAUAAAAAAAUUAGUAAAAAGGAUAAAUUUACUAGAAAAUUCAGUCCACAAAACAAUUUCAAAACCUCAAAAAGAAAGCGGAGAUUACCAGUCUGUUAUAACUGUGGAAAAGUAGGACACUAUCAAAAUAAUUGCAAAGUAAAAAGGAAAAUUAGUACUCUACAAAUAGACGAGGAAAUAAAAAGUCAAAUAUUUCAAAUAUUACAAAUAGAUAAUGAGUCAGAAAAUAGCUCAUCAAGUUCUGAAAUUGACCAUUGAUUGGAGAAUUAGAAGAUGAAUCUUUGAUAUUUAGUAGUUCAGAUUCUGAUGAAGAAAUGAAUAAAUGUUUUUGCAAUACAUUAACGGAUGAGUACACGAGUCACUAGAUUUAUGCCACUGUGCCUUUCCAUGGCUCUCUUGGCCUAACUUCGGCGAGGGCUACUAUGACUUUGGUCUCAACGCUCAGACUUAUUUCUAAGUGGUAAAUUUUAUUAAGUUGCUAACUUUUAGGAUAGUAUUAUCGCCUGACAAUUCACUAACUUGGCUCUGAUACCAAUUUAACUCAAGGCCUAAUUGAUUGCUAAGUUAAGCAAGUAUUGAAGAGAUCUAAUUGAUUGCUAAAUUAAGCAAGUAAUAAAUCAAUAUUAUCCUCUAAAAAUAAAUCUAUUGAGUUUAAUAUACAGCAGAACAACUAAGAUUAUAAGCAAGAAUAUAGGAGAUAUAUCAAUGACUAUCCAAUUAAUAUAAGUAACUUAUCUAAAUCUUAUGCUUAAGAUAAACUUUAUUUGCAUAGCAAGGAAAGGCAAUACAGAUACAAACUUUUACAGGAAGCACUUACAUUGCACAGGCACAGAAACUUGAGAAGAGUUUCUACUCCUCGGGACAGUAACUAGGUAGCUUAUGCCAAUUACAAUCACACAAACUCACAUAAAAUCACUCACUAUACAAUAUUUUUUUUUUUUUAGAGAAAAAAGAUGAGAAUAUAGAAGAUCAGAAUGCUUCAGAGAUUGUGAGAGGGUAUUAGAGAGAUGGCAUAGAAUAUUGAGAACAGAGAAACAGCUCAGAGAGCUUUGAACUAAUGGAUUAUCAGAGCUUGAACAUUUAUCAGAAGAGAGGGUUUGCAAAGAGCUUUUAAGUUUGAGAAUAAAACAUGAGAGCAUAGGAUUAAAUAAGGUAUUACCCGAGCCUGGAGUAGACUUGUAGUAGAGCAGAAGGAAUGAAUGGGAGAAGGACGAGAUGUGCUUCUAACAGAGUUGUAGAGAGUUUGAAUAGGAGGAGA
rnacentral:lncRNA from 1 species